rnacentral:rRNA from 1 species
CAAUAGCGUAUAUUAAAGUUGUUGCGGUAAAAAAGCUCGUAGUUGGAUUUCUGUUGAGAGCGACCGGUCCAUACCAUGUAUGCGUAUCUGGCUUGCCCUCGGCAUCCUCUCGAUAGACGUUACUGCGCUUGAUUGCGUGGUGCGGAUCUCGGGACUUUUACUUUGAGGAAAUUAGAGUGUUCACGGCAGGCUUUCGCCAGAAUACAUUAGCAUGGAAUAAUACUAUAGGAUCUUGGUUCUAUUUUGUUGGUUUCUAGAAUUGAGAUAAUGAUUAAUAGGGACAAUUGGGGGCAUUCGUAUCAACACGUCAGAGGUGGAAUUCUUGGAUUGUGUUGCGACGAACUACUGCGAAAGCAUUUGCCAAGGAUGUUUUCAUUGA